UUUGUAAAUAUGUUUUGUGUGUGCCAAGCAUAAAGCCCUCCCUGAGCUAUUUACCCAUAGCGCACGAAUUAGUGCGUGGCAGGCCUCUGAAUUUAUGUUCUUUCUUUUUGGCUGCCCUCUAUAGAGGCAUGGAUUCUCUUCAAACUCAAUUGAAGAAUGGUGCAUCUCCCACUGGCAGUGGACCUCUUUGGUUCACUCAAAUGUGGUUGAGAUCCUAUUUUCCAUUGCUUGGUGCUCCAUCAAU
rnacentral:lncRNA from 1 species